UGGUAAAAACGGCAUUUAAUACACUCCCACGGAGUUAUGAGUACAUAAUACCUAACAUUAUCAAUGCUCUAAUAUUUCCUACAUUUGAGAGAACCAGCGCAAUAUUGUUGACCGAGUAUCAUCAACUGUAACAUUGUAAUGCUAAGUUGGAAGAUGAAGAGGCUCUUGUUCAGGUCCAGAAGAACACAAGAAUCACACCAAAUACAGGAAGAUCGCCGAACAAGAGGAGAGGCAAAUCAUCCAUGAGCAACUUCA
rnacentral:lncRNA from 1 species